CGGCGCGGCUGCGGGUCACCCUGCGGCAGACUAACUUGAAGGCCCGGAAGUGCCGCCCCCGGGCGCUCCUGAUUGGCGGCCCUGCCGCGCCGCCCGCCGGGGAUAGGCUACGGAUGCCGUCAGCGCCGGCAGCAGAAAAUCAACAAUGGAGACUGUUCAAUUUCUUCUGCACUUGGAGUGUUUAUUGUAGGAGACAAAUAUUUCUGCAACAUCUACAGUGCAGUAACACCAUUGUUCUGGAGGACUUCAUCCAGAUGUGCUCUGCUGUGGGCUACAGAGACCCUUAACUGCUGAUCAUCCUGUAAGAUUAAUGGCUUAUGCUUACAGCAGCCAGUUUUUAAAGUUAUGGCAAGACAGAAUCCUAGAUAUUAUAAACAUAGAGUAUGCUAAUGGAAAUUGUCUAUUCUUCAAAGUGUACACACUUGAUUUACUCAAUAAAGGAACUUUAUGGAACUCUUA